rnacentral:rRNA from 1 species
GGGAAAGGGGGGGGCUUGCUCCUGAUGUUAGCGGCGGACGGGUGAGUAACACGUGGGUAACCUGCCUGUAAGACUGGGAUAACUCCGGGAAACCGGGGCUAAUACCGGAUGGUUGUUUGAACCGCAUGGUUCAAACAUAAAAGGUGGCUUCGGCUACCACUUACAGAUGGACCCGCGGCGCAUUAGCUAGUUGGUGAGGUAACGGCUCACCAAGGCAACGAUGCGUAGCCGACCUGAGAGGGUGAUCGGCCACACUGGGACUGAGACACGGCCCAGACUCCUACGGGAGGCAGCAGUAGGGAAUCUUCCGCAAUGGACGAAAGUCUGACGGAGCAACGCCGCGUGAGUGAUGAAGGUUUUCGGAUCGUAAAGCUCUGUUGUUAGGGAAGAACAAGUACCGUUCGAAUAGGGCGGUACCUUGACGGUACCUAACCAGAAAGCCACGGCUAACUACGUGCCAGCAGCCGCGGUAAUACGUAGGUGGCAAGCGUUGUCCGGAAUUAUUGGGCGUAAAGGGCUCGCAGGCGGUUUCUUAAGUCUGAUGUGAAAGCCCCCGGCUCAACCGGGGAGGGUCAUUGGAAACUGGGGAACUUGAGUGCAGAAGAGGAGAGUGGAAUUCCACGUGUAGCGGUGAAAUGCGUAGAGAUGUGGAGGAACACCAGUGGCGAAGGCGACUCUCUGGUCUGUAACUGACGCUGAGGAGCGAAAGCGUGGGGAGCGAACAGGAUUAGAUACCCUGGUAGUCCACGCCGUAACGAUGAGUGCUAGUGUUAGGGGGUUUCCGCCCCUAUGCCUGCAGCUACGCAAUUAAGCACUCGCCUGGGGAUACGGUCGCUAGACUGAACUCAAGGGAAAUUGACCGGG